rnacentral:tRNA from 1 species
GCCGGUGUAGCUCAAUGGUAGAGCGGAGCCCUCAUAAAGCUUAGAAAGAGGUUCGAUUCCUCUCAUCGGCACUA